GACGAACGCUGGCGGCGUGCUUAACACAUGCAAGUCGAACGGAAAGGCCCUGCGUUUGUGGGGUGCUCGAGUGGCGAACGGGUGAGUAACACGUGAGUAACCUGCCCUUGACUUUGGGAUAACUUCAGGAAACUGGGGCUAAUACCGGAUAGGAGCUACUGCUGCAUGGUGGGGGUUGGAAAGUUUCGGCGGUUGGGGAUGGACUCGCGGCUUAUGAGCCUGUUGGUGAGGUAGUGGCUUACCAAGGCUUUGACGGGUAGCCGGCCUGAGAGGGUGACCGGCCACAUUGGGACUGCGAUACGGCCCAGACUCCUACGUGAGGCAGCAGUGGGAAAUAUGGCGCAAUAGGCGGAAGCCUGAUGCAGCAACGCCGCGUGCGGGAUGACGGCCUUCGGGUUGUAAACCGCUUUCGCCUGUGACGAAGCGUGAGUGACGGUAAUUGGUAAAGAAGCACCGGCUAACUACGUG
rnacentral:rRNA from 1 species